rnacentral:lncRNA from 1 species
AUGCCUUAUUACACUGAGUUGUUAGAGAGAGAAAAGGAAGGUAUUGCAGGUAUACUGUCAGAUGUGGUCACCCAAAGACAGAACAUGGAAAAUCAGUGGAAGCAAGGGUUUGAGUUGGAAAAACAAGAUCUUGAAAAACUGAAAGCAGUGCUGAAGCAAGAGAGAGAGGAUCUGGACAGAGUGAAUGAGAUCAUGAACAAAGAAGGAUUGGACUUAGAGCUGAUGAGAUCUGAAAUUCAGGAACAAAGUAAAUUAUUAGAAAAGGAGAAAAAGGAGAUAAAAGAGGGAAGACACAAGUUGGACAUCACAAAAGCUGAGCUAGAAAAGAAGAAAGAACAUGCAGACAGUCUGUUUGAUGAGAUAGACACAGAGAAGGCCAACAUUAAACAUCUGACCCUUCAAGUUCAGACAAAAAGAAACAAACUUGAACGUGUCAUGAACAUGAUUACCUUGAAACAACAAGAACAAGAACUCAAGGAAGAUGAGUUAACAAAACGAAAACAAGAACUGGUAAUGAGUAAGAACACUGUGCUAAAAGAAAGAGGAGAACUGGAUGUUUUGAGGAAGGAUCUGAACAAAAAGAAAGAAGAGGUUGAAGCUGCCAUGAACAGCAUCACUAGAGAGAGAGAACAACUCAGUAAAAUGAAGACUGACAAUGAGAAAGAGAAAGAAAUGAUUUUAAUUGAAAAGGACAGAAUAGAAGGCCAAUGCUCUGAACUGAAGAUGAGACAAGAUCAACUCGUGAAUGAAAUGAAAUCAAUACAAACUCUAAGAAGGAAGCUUCAACAGCUUAACGAAAGGAUCAUUGAAGACAUGAAAAACAAAAUGGACAAUUUGCAACAAAGGUCUGAAGAUGUGCAAAUGCUGUACACUGUAUUGGAAGAAAAGGUGGCAGACCUUGAUGGUGAAAAAGAAAAAAUGGCUUAUUACACUGAGUUGUUAGAGAGAGAAAAGGAAGUUAUUGCAGGUAUACUGUCAGAUGUGGUCACCCAAAGACAGGACAUGGAAAAUCAGUGUAAGCAAGGGUUUGAGUUGGAAAAACAAGAUCUUGAAAAACUGAAAGCAAUGCUGAAGCAAGAGAGAGGGGAUCUGGAUAGAGUGCAUGAGAUCAUGACCAAAGAAAGAUUGGACUUAGAGCUGAUGAGAUCUGAAAUUCAGGAACAAAGUAAAUUAUUAGAAAAGGAGAAAAAGGAGAUAAAAGAGGGAAGACACAAGUUGGACAGCACAAAAGCUGAGCUAGAAAAGAAGAAAGAACAUGCAGACAGUCUGUUUGAUGAGAUAGACACAGAGAAGGCCAACAUUAAACAUCUGACCCUUCAAGUUCAGACAAAAAGAAACCAACUUGAACAUGUCAUGAACAUGAUAACCUUAAAACAACAAGAACAAGAACUCAAGGAAGAUGAGUUAACAAAACGAAAACAAGAACUGGUAAUGAAUAAGAACACUGUGCUAACAGAAAGAGGAGAGCUGGAUGUUUUGAGGAAGGAUCUGAACAAAAAGAAAGAAGAGGUUGAAGCUGCCAUGAACAGCAUCACUAGAGAGAGAGAACAACUCAGUAAAAUGAAGACUGACAAUGAGAAAGAGAAAGAAAUGAUUUUAAUUGAAAAGGACAGAAUAGAAGUCCAAUGCUCUGAACUGAAGAUGAGACAAGAUCAACUCGUAAAUGAAAUGAAAUCAAUACAAACUCUGAGAAGGAAGCUUCAACAGCUUAACGAAAGGAUCAUUGAAGACAUGAAAAACAAAAUGGACAAUUUGCAACAAAGGUCUGAAGAUGUGCAAAUGCUGUACACUGUAUUGGAAGAAAAGGUGGCAGACCUUGAUGGUGAAAAAGAAAAAAUGGCUUAUUACACUGAGUUGUUAGAGAGAGAAAAGGAAGUUAUUGCAGGUAUACUGUCAGAUGUGGUAACCCAAAGACAGGACAUGGAGAAUCAGUGUAAGCAAGGGUUUGAGUUGGAAAAACAAGAUCUUGAAAAACUGAAAGCAGUGCUGAAGCAAGAGAGAGAGGAUCUGGAUAGAGUGCAUGAGAUCAUGACCAAAGAGAGACUGGAGCUAGAAACCAGUAAGAACAGUGUCCUUACAGAAAGAGGAGAACUGGAAGUUUUGGGGAAGGAUCUCAAAAAGAAGAAAGAAGAGGUCGACAUUGCCAUGAACAGCAUCAGUGGAGAGAGAGAACAACUCAGUAAAAUUAAGACUGACAAUGACAAAGAGAGAGAAGUACUUUUGAUUGAAAGGGACAGAAUAGAACUUGAAAGGUCUGAGGUGAAAAUAAAAGAAGAACAAGUCAUGAAGCAAAUGAAAUCAAUGGAAACUAUGAAAGUGAAGCUUCAGCGGCUGUACAAUAGGAUCAGUGAAGACAUGAAAAACAAAGUGGACAGUUUGCAACAAAACUGUGAAGGUGCGCAAAUUCUGUAUGCUACAUUGGAACAAAAGGUUGCAGCACUUGAUGGAGAAAAAGAAAAAUUGACUAAUUACACUGAGUUGUUAGAGAGAGAAAAGGAAGGUAUUGCAGGUAUACUGUCAGAUGUGGUCACCCAGAGACAGGGCAUGGAAAAUCAGUGUAAGCAAGGGUUUGAGUUGGAAAAACAAGAUCUUGAAAAACUGAAAGCAGUGCUGAAGCAAGAGAGAGAGGAUCUGGAUAGAGUGCAUGAGAUCAUGACCCAAGAGAGACUGGAGCUAGAAACCAGUAAGAACAGUGUCCUUACAGAAAGAGGAGAACUGGAAGUUUUGGGGAAGGAUCUCAAAAAGAAGAAAGAAGAGGUCGACAUUGCCAUGAACAGCAUCAGUGGAGAGAGAGAACAACUCAGUAAAAUGAAGACUGACAAUGACAAAGAGAGAGAAGUACUUUUGAUUGAAAGCGACAGAAUAGAAGUUGAAAGGUCUGAGGUGAAAAUAAAAGAAGAUCAAGUCAUGAAGCAAAUGAAAUCAAUGGAAACUAUGAAAGUGAAGCUUCAGCAACUGUACAAUAGGAUCAGUGAAGACAUGAAAAACAAAAUGGACAGUUUGCAACAAAACUGUGAAGGUGCGCAAAUUCUGUAUGCUACAUUGGAAGAAAAGGUUGCAGCACUUGAUAGAGAAAAAGAAAAAAUGGCUUAUUACACUGAGUUGUUAGAGAGAGAAAAGGAAGGUAUUGCAGGUAUACUGUCAGAUGUUGUCACCCAGAGACAGGGCAUGGAAAAUCAGUGUAAGCAAGGGUUUGAGUUGGAAAAACAAGAUCUUGAAAAACUGAAAGCAGUGCUGAAGCAAGAGAGAGGGGAUCUGGAUAGAGUGCAUGAGAUCAUGACCAAAGAAAGAUUGGACUUAGAGCUGAUGAGAUCUGAAAUUCAGGAACAAAGUAAAUUAUUAGAAAAGGAGAAAAAGGAGAUAAAAGAGGGAAGACACAAGUUGGACAGCACAAAAGCUGAGCUAGAAAAGAAGAAAGAACAUGCAGACAGUCUGUUUGAUGAGAUAGACACAGAGAAGGCCAACAUUAAACAUCUGACCCUUCAAGUUCAGACAAAAAGAAACCAACUUGAACAUGUCAUGAACAUGAUAACCUUAAAACAACAAGAACAAGAACUCAAGGAAGAUGAGUUAACAAAACGAAAACAAGAACUGGUAAUGAAUAAGAACACUGUGCUAACAGAAAGAGGAGAGCUGGAUGUUUUGAGGAAGGAUCUGAACAAAAAGAAAGAAGAGGUUGAAGCUGCCAUGAACAGCAUCACUAGAGAGAGAGAACAACUCAGUAAAAUGAAGACUGACAAUGAGAAAGAGAAAGAAAUGAUUUUAAUUGAAAAGGACAGAAUAGAAGUCCAAUGCUCUGAACUGAAGAUGAGACAAGAUCAACUCGUAAAUGAAAUGAAAUCAAUACAAACUCUGAGAAGGAAGCUUCAACAGCUUAACGAAAGGAUCAUUGAAGACAUGAAAAACAAAAUGGACAAUUUGCAACAAAGGUCUGAAGAUGUGCAAAUGCUGUACACUGUAUUGGAAGAAAAGGUGGCAGACCUUGAUGGUGAAAAAAGAAAAAUGGCUUAUUACACUGAGUUGUUAGAGAGAGAAAAGGAAGUUAUUGCAGGUAUACUGUCAGAUGUGGUCACCCAAAGACAGGACAUGGAAAAUCAGUGUAAGCAAGGGUUUGAGUUGGAAAAACAAGAUCUUGAAAAACUGAAAGCAGUGCUGAAGCAAGAGAGAGAGGAUCUGGAUAGAGUGCAUGAGAUCAUGACCAAAGAGAGACUGGAGCUAGAAACCAGUAAGAACAGUGUCCUUACAGAAAGAGGAGAACUGGAAGUUUUGGGGAAGGAUCUCAAAAAGAAGAAAGAAGAGGUCGACAUUGCCAUGAACAGCAUCAGUGGAGAGAGAGAACAACUCAGUAAAAUGAAGACUGACAAUGACAAAGAGAGAGAAGUACUUUUGAUUGAAAGCGACAGAAUAGAAGUUGAAAGGUCUGAGGUGAAAAUAAAAGAAGAUCAAGUCAUGAAGCAAAUGAAAUCAAUGGAAACUAUGAAAGUGAAGCUUCAGCGGCUGUACAAUAGGAUCAGUGAAGACAUGAAAAACAAAGUGGACAGUUUGCAACAAAACUGUGAAGGUGCGCAAAUUCUGUAUGCUACAUUGGAACAAAAGGUUGCAGCACUUGAUGGAGAAAAAGAAAAAUUGACUAAUUACACUGAGUUGUUAGAGAGAGAAAAGGAAGGUAUUGCAGGUAUACUGUCAGAUGUGGUCACCCAAAGACAGGACAUGGAGAAUCAGUGUAAGCAAGGGUUUGAGUUGGAAAAACAAGAUCUUGAAAAACUGAAAGCAGUGCUGAAGCAAGAGAGGGAGGAUCUGGAUAGAGUGCAUGAGAUCAUGACCCAAGAGAGACUGGAGCUAGGAACCAGUAAGAACAGUGUCCUUACAGAAAGAGGAGAACUGGAAGUUUUGGGGAAGGAUCUCAAAAAGAAGAAAGAAGAGGUUGACAUUGCCAUGAACAGCAUCAGUGGAGAGAGAGAACAACUCAGUAAAAUGAAGACUGACAAUGACAAAGAGAGAGAACAACUCAGUAAAAUGAAGACUGACAAUGAGAAAGAGAAAGAAAUGAUUUUAAUUGAAAAGGACAGAAUAGAAGUCCAAUGCUCUGAACUGAAGAUGAGACAAGAUCAACUCGUAAAUGAAAUGAAAUCAAUACAAACUCUGAGAAGGAAGCUUCAACAGCUUAACGAAAGGAUCAUUGAAGACAUGAAAAACAAAAUGGACAAUUUGCAACAAAGGUCUGAAGAUGUGCAAAUGCUGUACACUGUAUUGGAAGAAAAGGUUGCAGACCUUGAUGGUGAAAAAGAAAAAAUGGCUUAUUACACUGAGUUGUUAGAGAGAGAAAAGGAAGUUAUUGCAGGUAUACUGUCAGAUGUGGUCACCCAAAGACAGGACAUGGAAAAUCAGUGUAAGCAAGGGUUUGAGUUGGAAAAACAAGAUCUUGAAAAACUGAAAGCAGUGCUGAAGCAAGAGAGAGAGGAUCUGGAUAGAGUGCAUGAGAUCAUGACCAAAGAGAGACUGGAGCUAGAAACCAGUAAGAACAGUGUCCUUACAGAAAGAGGAGAACUGGAAGUUUUGGGGAAGGAUCUCAAAAAGAAGAAAGAAGAGGUCGACAUUGCCAUGAACAGCAUCAGUGGAGAGAGAGAACAACUCAGUAAAAUGAAGACUGACAAUGACAAAGAGAGAGAAAUACUUUUGAUUGAAAGCGACAGAAUAGAAGUUGAAAGGUCUGAGGUGAAAAUAAAAGAAGAUCAAGUCAUGAAGCAAAUGAAAUCAAUGGAAACUAUGAAAGUGAAGCUUCAGCGGCUGUACAAUAGGAUCAGUGAAGACAUGAAAAACAAAGUGGACAGUUUGCAACAAAACUGUGAAGGUGCGCAAAUUCUGUAUGCUACAUUGGAACAAAAGGUUGCAGCACUUGAUGGAGAAAAAGAAAAAUUGACUAAUUACACUGAGUUGUUAGAGAGAGAAAAGGAAGGUAUUGCAGGUAUACUGUCAGAUGUGGUCACCCAAAGACAGGACAUGGAGAAUCAGUGUAAGCAAGGGUUUGAGUUGGAAAAACAAGAUCUUGAAAAACUGAAAGCAGUGCUGAAGCAAGAGAGAGAGGAUCUGGAUAGAGUGCAUGAGAUCAUGACCAAAGAAAGAUUGGACUUAGAGCUGAUGAGAUCUGAAAUUCAGGAACAAAGUAAAUUAUUAGAAAAGGAGAAAAAGGAGAUAAAAGAGGGAAGACACAAGUUGGACAGCACAAAAGCUGAGCUAGAAAAGAAGAAAGAACAUGCAGACAGUCUGUUUGAUGAGAUAGACACAGAGAAGGCCAACAUUAAACAUCUGACCCUUCAAGUUCAGACAAAAAGAAACCAACUUGAACAUGUCAUGAACAUGAUAACCUUAAAACAACAAGAACAAGAACUCAAGGAAGAUGAGUUAACAAAACGAAAACAAGAACUGGUAAUGAAUAAGAACACUGUGCUAACAGAAAGAGGAGAGCUGGAUGUUUUGAGGAAGGAUCUGAACAAAAAGAAAGAAGAGGUUGAAGCUGCCAUGAACAGCAUCACUAGAGAGCUGGAUGUUUUGAGGAAGGAUCUGAACAAAAAGAAAGAAGAGGUUGAAGCUGCCAUGAACAGCAUCACUAGAGAGAGAGAACAACUCAGUAAAAUGAAGACUGACAAUGAGAAAGAGAAAGAAAUGAUUUUAAUUGAAAAGGACAGAAUAGAAGUCCAAUGCUCUGAACUGAAGAUGAGACAAGAUCAACUCGUAAAUGAAAUGAAAUCAAUACAAACUCUGAGAAGGAAGCUUCAACAGCUUAACGAAAGGAUCAUUGAAGACAUGAAAAACAAAAUGGACAAUUUGCAACAAAGGUCUGAAGAUGUGCAAAUGCUGUACACUGUAUUGGAAGAAAAGGUGGCAGACCUUGAUGGUGAAAAAGAAAAAAUGGCUUAUUACACUGAGUUGUUAGAGAGAGAAAAGGAAGUUAUUGCAGGUAUACUGUCAGAUGUGGUCACCCAAAGACAGGACAUGGAAAAUCAGUGUAAGCAAGGGUUUGAGUUGGAAAAACAAGAUCUUGAAAAACUGAAAGCAGUGCUGAAGCAAGAGAGAGAGGAUCUGGAUAGAGUGCAUGAGAUCAUGACCAAAGAGAGACUGGAGCUAGAAACCAGUAAGAACAGUGUCCUUACAGAAAGAGGAGAACUGGAAGUUUUGGGGAAGGAUCUCAAAAAGAAGAAAGAAGAGGUCGACAUUGCCAUGAACAGCAUCAGUGGAGAGAGAGAACAACUCAGUAAAAUGAAGACUGACAAUGACAAAGAGAGAGAAGUACUUUUGAUUGAAAGCGACAGAAUAGAAGUUGAAAGGUCUGAGGUGAAAAUAAAAGAAGAUCAAGUCAUGAAGCAAAUGAAAUCAAUGGAAACUAUGAAAGUGAAGCUUCAGCGGCUGUACAAUAGGAUCAGUGAAGACAUGAAAAACAAAGUGGACAGUUUGCAACAAAACUGUGAAGGUGCGCAAAUUCUGUAUGCUACAUUGGAACAAAAGGUUGCAGCACUUGAUGGAGAAAAAGAAAAAUUGACUAAUUACACUGAGUUGUUAGAGAGAGAAAAGGAAGGUAUUGCAGGUAUACUGUCAGAUGUGGUCACCCAAAGACAGGACAUGGAGAAUCAGUGUAAGCAAGGGUUUGAGUUGGAAAAACAAGAUCUUGAAAAACUGAAAGCAGUGCUGAAGCAAGAGAGAGAGGAUCUGGAUAGAGUGCAUGAGAUCAUGACCCAAGAGAGACUGGAGCUAGGAACCAGUAAGAACAGUGUCCUUACAGAAAGAGGAGAACUGGAAGUUUUGGGGAAGGAUCUCAAAAAGAAGAAAGAAGAGAUUGACAUUGCCAUGAACAGCAUCAGUGGAGAGAGAGAACAACUCAGUAAAAUGAAGACUGACAAUGACAAAGAGAGAGAAGUACUUUUGAUUGAAAGCGACAGAAUAGAAGUUGAAAGGUCUGAGGUGAAAAUAAAAGAAGAUCAAGUCAUGAAGCAAAUGAAAUCAAUGGAAACUAUGAAAGUGAAGCUUCAGCGGCUGUACAAUAGGAUCAGUGAAGACAUGAAAAACAAAGUGGACAGUUUGCAACAAAACUGUGAAGGUGCGCAAAUUCUGUAUGCUACAUUGGAACAAAAGGUUGCAGCACUUGAUGGAGAAAAAGAAAAAUUGACUAAUUACACUGAGUUGUUAGAGAGAGAAAAGGAAGGUAUUGCAGGUAUACUGUCAGAUGUGGUCACCCAGAGACAGGGCAUGGAAAAUCAGUGUAAGCAAGGGUUUGAGUUGGAAAAACAAGAUCUUGAAAAACUGAAAGCAGUGCUGAAGCAAGAGAGAGAGGAUCUGGACAGAGUGAAUGAGAUCAUGACCAAAGAAAGAUUGGACUUAGAGCUGAUGAGAUCUGAAAUUCAGGAACAAAGUAAAUUAUUAGAAAAGGAGAAAAAGGAGAUAAAAGAGGGAAGACACAAGUUGGACAGCACAAAAGCUGAGCUAGAAAAGAAGAAAGAACAUGCAGACAGUCUGUUUGAUGAGAUAGACACAGAGAAGGCCAACAUUAAACAUCUGACCCUUCAAGUUCAGACAAAAAGAAACCAACUUGAACAUGUCAUGAACAUGAUAACCUUAAAACAACAAGAACAAGAACUCAAGGAAGAUGAGUUAACAAAACGAAAACAAGAACUGGUAAUGAAUAAGAACACUGUGCUAACAGAAAGAGGAGAGCUGGAUGUUUUGAGGAAGGAUCUGAACAAAAAGAAAGAAGAGGUUGAAGCUGCCAUGAACAGCAUCACUAGAGAGAGAGAACAACUCAGUAAAAUGAAGACUGACAAUGAGAAAGAGAAAGAAAUGAUUUUAAUUGAAAAGGACAGAAUAGAAGUCCAAUGCUCUGAACUGAAGAUGAGACAAGAUCAACUCGUAAAUGAAAUGAAAUCAAUACAAACUCUGAGAAGGAAGCUUCAACAGCUUAACGAAAGGAUCAUUGAAGACAUGAAAAACAAAAUGGACAAUUUGCAACAAAGGUCUGAAGAUGUGCAAAUGCUGUACACUGUAUUGGAAGAAAAGGUGGCAGACCUUGAUGGUGAAAAAGAAAAAAUGGCUUAUUACACUGAGUUGUUAGAGAGAGAAAAGGAAGUUAUUGCAGGUAUACUGUCAGAUGUGGUCACCCAAAGACAGGACAUGGAAAAUCAGUGUAAGCAAGGGUUUGAGUUGGAAAAACAAGAUCUUGAAAAACUGAAAGCAGUGCUGAAGCAAGAGAGAGAGGAUCUGGAUAGAGUGCAUGAGAUCAUGACCAAAGAGAGACUGGAGCUAGAAACCAGUAAGAACAGUGUCCUUACAGAAAGAGGAGAACUGGAAGUUUUGGGGAAGGAUCUCAAAAAGAAGAAAGAAGAGGUCGACAUUGCCAUGAACAGCAUCAGUGGAGAGAGAGAACAACUCAGUAAAAUGAAGACUGACAAUGACAAAGAGAGAGAAAUACUUUUGAUUGAAAGCGACAGAAUAGAAGUUGAAAGGUCUGAGGUGAAAAUAAAAGAAGAUCAAGUCAUGAAGCAAAUGAAAUCAAUGGAAACUAUGAAAGUGAAGCUUCAGCGGCUGUACAAUAGGAUCAGUGAAGACAUGAAAAACAAAAUGGACAGUUUGCAACAAAACUGUGAAGGUGCGCAAAUUCUGUAUGCUACAUUGGAACAAAAGGUUGCAGCACUUGAUGGAGAAAAAGAAAAAUUGACUAAUUACACUGAGUUGUUAGAGAGACAAAAGGAAGGUAUUGCAGGUAUACUGUCAGAUGUGGUCACCCAAAGACAGGACAUGGAGAAUCAGUGUAAGCAAGGGUUUGAGUUGGAAAAACAAGAUCUUGAAAAACUGAAAGCAGUGCUGAAGCAAGAGAGAGAGGAUCUGGAUAGAGUGCAUGAGAUCAUGACCAAAGAGAGACUGGAGCUAGAAACCAGUAAGAACAGUGUCCUUACAGAAAGAGGAGAACUGGAAGUUUUGGGGAAGGAUCUCAAAAAGAAGAAAGAAGAGGUCGACAUUGCCAUGAACAGCAUCAGUGGAGAGAGAGAACAACUCAGUAAAAUGAAGACUGACAAUGAGAAAGAGAAAGAAAUGAUUUUAAUUGAAAAGGACAGAAUAGAAGUCCAAUUCUCUGAACUGAAGAUGAGACAAGAUCAACUCGUAAAUGAAAUGAAAUCAAUACAAACUCUGAGAAGGAAGCUUCAACAGCUUAACGAAAGGAUCAUUGAAGACAUGAAAAACAAAAUGGACAAUUUGCAACAAAGGUCUGAAGAUGUGCAAAUGCUGUACACUGUAUUGGAAGAAAAGGUGGCAGACCUUGAUGGUGAAAAAGAAAAAAUGGCUUAUUACACUGAGUUGUUAGAGAGAGAAAAGGAAGGUAUUGCAGGUAUACUGUCAGAUGUGGUCACCCAAAGACAGGACAUGGAGAAUCAGUGUAAGCAAGGGUUUGAGUUGGAAAAACAAGAUCUUGAAAAACUGAAAGCAGUGCUGAAGCAAGAGAGAGAGGAUCUGGAUAGAGUGCAUGAGAUCAUGACCAAAGAGAGACUGGAGCUAGAAACCAGUAAGAACAGUGUCCUUACAGAAAGAGGAGAACUGGAAGUUUUGGGGAAGGAUCUCAAAAAGAAGAAAGAAGAGGUCGACAUUGCCAUGAACAGCAUCAGUGGAGAGAGAGAACAACUCAGUAAAAUGAAGACUGACAAUGACAAAGAGAGAGAAGUACUUUUGAUUGAAAGCGACAGAAUAGAAGUUGAAAGGUCUGAGGUGAAAAUAAAAGAAGAUCAAGUCAUGAAGCAAAUGAAAUCAAUGGAAACUAUGAAAGUGAAGCUUCAGCGGCUGUACAAUAGGAUCAGUGAAGACAUGAAAAACAAAGUGGACAGUUUGCAACAAAACUGUGAAGGUGCGCAAAUUCUGUAUGCUACAUUGGAACAAAAGGUUGCAGCACUUGAUGGAGAAAAAGAAAAAUUGACUAAUUACACUGAGUUGUUAGAGAGAGAAAAGGAAGGUAUUGCAGGUAUACUGUCAGAUGUGGUCACCCAAAGACAGGACAUGGAGAAUCAGUGUAAGCAAGGGUUUGAGUUGGAAAAACAAGAUCUUGAAAAACUGAAAGCAGUGCUGAAGCAAGAGAGAGAGGAUCUGGAUAGAGUGCAUGAGAUCAUGACCCAAGAGAGACUGGAGCUAGAAACCAGUAAGAACAGUGUCCUUACAGAAAGAGGAGAACUGGAAGUUUUGGGGAAGGAUCUCAAAAAAGAAGAAAGAAGAGGUUGA